UCCCCACCUACCCGAAACCUUUUUACGUGCAGCCUGCAGUGCCCUCGGAGAGGCAGAACGGGAUUUUCAGGAGCGCGGGGGUUCCCCCAGCUCCGCACAGCUCGUUUUUCCUCCUGCUAAAAAUGCUGCUCGCUUGUGCACCUGGGAGGAGCCGCACGCUUUGCUCACACCCGGACAGCCACCACCAGACGAGCUCCUGCCCUGCAGCCCUCUUUUGGGGCUCACCCCCUGUCCUGCAGGGCCUGCCUGAUCCCCAUCGUGUCCCCAAGGUCCAGUUGGCACAGCCCCUGGGUGUGCUGGGGGCUCUGCAGGGCUGGGGACAUCCCCCCGGCAGUGGCUGCAGGUCCCUUGAGCGCCGUGCCAGGUUUUGUUGCCUGCAAACUUGUGCGUGGGCUGCGGCUCUGCUGCCCUGGCAAUGUGGGACCAGCAUCUGCUGACCAAGCGCCGAGGGUUUGGAGCUGAUAUCUGAGAGCUUUGGGGGCUGAGGGCACGGUGCUGGGGCUGUGCUCGCCACGAAACGCAGCUGUGGGGUGUGAGCAUUGCUGUGGCUGUGGGUGCCAAGGGCUUGGAGAGCAAACAUGGGACGGAGCGGGCUGGGAGCAAGAGGAAAAGAUGGCGAGGAAGACGAGGGCUCCUGGCUCCCGGCUCGCAGCGCAGACUGUGUGGAUGGCCAGCCUCCCGAAUCCAAAAUCAGGAGCUUGUAAGUUCACUCCCGUCUCAGGCGCUGGUGGGGACGGGUGGCUCUGCUGGCAGGGAGCAUUUUUUGGGCUCAGCCGUGGACCCAACACCAGCCGAGCUCGGUGCCUGCCCUGGGGUGCAGCCGCAGAGCGGGGCUGCUUGGUUUUGGGGGAUUUCUCUUUCCCUGUGCAGACACAAACCCUGCUGCCUUUUGGGGGCUGCCACACGCUCAGGGUGCUCGCAGCCAGGCACACAGAAGGCCGGCUGGGAUCCGGCUGCUUCCCUGGGAAGCUCUCCUCCCCCACACCCCUUAUCUGCUCUCUCUCUGCAGCUUUGGGCUGUGGUAUCAGGGCAGCAGCAACGACCCCCCCGCUGCCAGCUGCUCCGGAGCCUGGGAAGUCAUCGAGUCACCCGAAACGCAGCCGGAGGCGGUGGGAGAGGACGGGCAGGCGGGCAGCCCGCACACAGCAUCGCCGCCCCUCUGACCCCGCUGGAGCCGACACCCCCAGGAGCUGCGUGGGCACA
rnacentral:lncRNA from 1 species